AAACUUAGGAUAACGCCCCUUUAAACCGAAG
rnacentral:tRNA from 2 species